GACGAACGCUGGCGGCGUGCUUAACACAUGCAAGUCGAACGGUAAGGACCUUGGGGGUACACGAGUGGCGAACGGGUGAGUAACACGUGGGUGAUCUGCCCUGCACUUCGGAAUACGCCUGUGAAACUGGCUCCAAUACCGGAUAGGCACACCUCCUGCAUGUGCUGGGGUGGACAGCUUUUGCGGUGUGGGAUGGGCCCGCGGCCUAUCAGCUUGUAGGUGGGUUGAAGGCCUACCAAGGCGACAACGGGUAGCCGGCCUGAGAGGGUGACCGGCCAAGCUGGGACUGAGGUACGGCCCAGACGACUACGGGAGGCAGCAGUGGGGAAUAUUGUACAAUGGGCGAAAUCCUGAUGCAGCGACGCCGCGUGAGGGAUGACGGCUUUCGGGUUGUAAACCUCUUUCAGCACCGACGAAGCGCAAGUGACGGUAGGUGCAGAAGAAGGACCGGCCAACUACGUGCCAGCAGCCGCAGUAA
rnacentral:rRNA from 1 species